rnacentral:rRNA from 2 species
CCGAGUUCCCUGGAACGGGACGUAUGAGAGGGUGAGAGCCCCGUACGGUUGGAUACCAAGCCUAUAUAUAGCUCCUUCGACGAGUCGAGUAGUUUGGGAAUGCUGCUCUAAAUGGGAGGUAAAUUUCUUCUAAAGCUAAAUACCGGCCAGAGACCGAUAGCGCACAAGUAGAGUGAUCGAAAGAUGAAAAGCACUUUGAAAAGAGGGUUAAAUAGCACGUGAAAUUGUUGAAAGGGAAGCGUUUGCGACCAGACCUGCUCCAGGCGGAUCAUCCGGUGUUCUCACCGGUGCACUUCGCCUGGGCUAGGCCAGCAUCGGUUUUCUUAGGGGGAUAAAGGUUUAGGGCACGUAGCUCCUUCGGGAGUGUUAUAGCCCUCUACGUAAUACCCUUCGGGGGACCGAGGACCGCGCAUUGCAAGGAUGCUGGCGUAAUGGUCGUCAACGACCCGUCUUGAAACACGGACCAAGGAGUCGAACAUUUGUGCGAGUUCUUGGGUGUUAAACCCUCACGCGUAAUGAAAGUGAACGGAGGUGAGAGCCCUUCGGGGUGCAUCAUCGACCGAUCCUGAUGUCUUCGGAUGGAUGUGAGUAAGAGCAUAACUGUUCGGACCCGAAAGAUGGUGAACUAUGCGUGGAUAGGGUGAAGCCAGAGGAAACUCUGGUGGAGGCUCGCAGCGGUUCUGACGUGCAAAUCGAUCGUCAAAUCUGCGCAUGGGGGCGAAAGACUUAUCGAACCAU